rnacentral:rRNA from 1 species
UUGAAGAGUUUGAUCAUGGCUCAGAUUGAACGCUGGCGGCAGGCCUAACACAUGCAAGUCGAGCGGUAGCACAGAGAGCUUGCUCUCGGGUGACGAGCGGCGGACGGGUGAGUAAUGUCUGGGAAACUGCCUGAUGGAGGGGGAUAACUACUGGAAACGGUAGCUAAUACCGCAUAAUGUCGCAAGACCAAAGUGGGGGACCUUCGGGCCUCAUGCCAUCAGAUGUGCCCAGAUGGGAUUAGCUAGUAGGUGGGGUAACGGCUCACCUAGGCGACGAUCCCUAGCUGGUCUGAGAGGAUGACCAGCCACACUGGAACUGAGACACGGUCCAGACUCCUACGGGAGGCAGCAGUGGGGAAUAUUGCACAAUGGGCGCAAGCCUGAUGCAGCCAUGCCGCGUGUGUGAAGAAGGCCUUCGGGUUGUAAAGCACUUUCAGCGGGGAGGAAGGCGUUAAGGUUAAUAACCUUGGCGAUUGACGUUACCCGCAGAAGAAGCACCGGCUAACUCCGUGCCAGCAGCCGCGGUAAUACGGAGGGUGCAAGCGUUAAUCGGAAUUACUGGGCGUAAAGCGCACGCAGGCGGUCUGUCAAGUCGGAUGUGAAAUCCCCGGGCUCAACCUGGGAACUGCAUUCGAAACUGGCAGGCUAGAGUCUUGUAGAGGGGGGUAGAAUUCCAGGUGUAGCGGUGAAAUGCGUAGAGAUCUGGAGGAAUACCGGUGGCGAAGGCGGCCCCCUGGACAAAGACUGACGCUCAGGUGCGAAAGCGUGGGGAGCAAACAGGAUUAGAUACCCUGGUAGUCCACGCCGUAAACGAUGUCGAUUUGGAGGUUGUGCCCUUGAGGCGUGGCUUCCGGAGCUAACGCGUUAAAUCGACCGCCUGGGGAGUACGGCCGCAAGGUUAAAACUCAAAUGAAUUGACGGGGGCCCGCACAAGCGGUGGAGCAUGUGGUUUAAUUCGAUGCAACGCGAAGAACCUUACCUGGUCUUGACAUCCACAGAACUUCCAGAGAUGGAUUGGUGCCUUCGGGAACUGUGAGACAGGUGCUGCAUGGCUGUCGUCAGCUCGUGUUGUGAAAUGUUGGGUUAAGUCCCGCAACGAGCGCAACCCUUAUCCUUUGUUGCCAGCGGUUAGGCCGGGAACUCAAAGGAGACUGCCAGUGAUAAACUGGAGGAAGGUGGGGAUGACGUCAAGUCAUCAUGGCCCUUACGACCAGGGCUACACACGUGCUACAAUGGCAUAUACAAAGAGAAGCGACCUCGCGAGAGCAAGCGGACCUCAUAAAGUAUGUCGUAGUCCGGAUUGGAGUCUGCAACUCGACUCCAUGAAGUCGGAAUCGCUAGUAAUCGUAGAUCAGAAUGCUACGGUGAAUACGUUCCCGGGCCUUGUACACACCGCCCGUCACACCAUGGGAGUGGGUUGCAAAAGAAGUAGGUAGCUUAACCUUCGGGAGGGCGCUUACCACUUUGUGAUUCAUGACUGGGGUGAAGUCGUAACAAGGUAACCGUAGGGGAACCUGCGGUUGGAUCACCUCCUU